GGCAGCGUCAGAUGUGUAUAAGAGACAGGUGAAUCAUCGAAUCUUUGAACGCACAUUGCGCCCAUUAGUAUUCUAACGGGCAUGCCUGUUCGAGCGUCAUUUCAACCCUCAAGCCCUGCUUGGUGUUGGGGCCCUAGUGUCUAGGCCCUGUAACUUAGUGGCGGAUCUGCUGUAUCCUGAGCGUAGUAAUAUAUUUCGUUCCGGGCUUACAGUGGCUCCUGCCGUGAAACCCACUUUUUAAAGUUGACCUCGGAUCAGGUAGGAAUACCCGCUGAACUUAAGCAUAUCAAUAAGCGGAGG
rnacentral:misc_RNA from 1 species